GAAAUGCGAUAAGUAAUGUGAAUUGCAGAAUUCAGUGAAUCAUCGAAUCUUUGAACGCACCUUGCGCUCCUUGGUAUUCCUUGGAGCAUGCCUGUUUGAGUAUCAUGAAAUCUUCAAAGUAAAUCUUUUGUUAACUCAAUUGGUUUCUACUUUGGUAUUGGAGGUCUUUGCAGCUUCACACCUGCUCCUCUUUGUUCAUUAGCUGGAUCUCAGUGUUAUGCUUGGUUCCACUCGGCGUGAUAAGUUAUCUAUCGCUGAGGACACUGUAAAAGGUGGCCAAGGUAAUUGCAGAUGAACCGCUUCUAAUAGUCCAUUGACUUGGACAAUACUUUUAUGAUCUGAUCUCAAAUCAGGUAGGACUACCCGCUGAACUUAAGC
rnacentral:misc_RNA from 1 species